CAGUAGUGAUUUUCUAUAAGGAGUGUGAAGCUGAGUACUGACACAUGCUGACAUGUGAUUGGCUACAACGUGGCUCAGAUGUGAUUGGCUACAGUUCUGUGAAUGAACACAGUGGUCAGGAGAUGGAGAGAGUGGUCAGGAGAUGGAGAGAGUGGUGAGGAGAUGGAGAGAGUGGUGAGGAGAUGGAGAGAGUGGUCAGGAGAUGGAGAGAGUGGUGAGGAGAUGGAGAGAGUGGUGAGGAGAUGGAGAGAGUGGUCAGGAGAUGGAGAGAGUGGUGAGGAGAUGGAGAGAGUGGUCAGGAGAUGGAGAGAGUGGUCAGGUGAUGGAGAGAGUGGUGAGGAGAUGGAGAGAGUGGUCAGGAGAUGGAGAGAGUGGUCAGGAGAUGGAGAGAGUGGUGAGGAGAUGGAGAGAGUGGUAG
ensembl:lncRNA